CCUUAACGUACAACAUCUCAAAAACAGGCCGGUCCUUAAGGGGUUAAGAAGUGCCUUAAAACCAUCUCUUUAGGAAAGCUUAUGGCCUCCGAGAGUAACCUCUACCUUACAUACCUGUCUCUUGAUCUCUCCUAAAGGGCAGCGCUUUACUCUCUCCUCCAGCUCUGCUUCACUCCCACCUAAUUUGAUUGUUAUUUCCUGUCCUAAUGUGUUUUAC